rnacentral:tRNA from 1 species
UCCCUGAUGGCUCAGAUGGUAAAGAGUCUGCCUGCAAUGCAGGAGAUCCAGGUUCAAUUCCUGGGUUGGGAA